CAGUAUUUUUUCCAAACUUAGAGUUUUGAAAGAUUUUUGAUUGUUACUGGCUUGCUCAGUUAUAUCCAACCUUAAGAUAUGUUUUCAUGAUCAAAACUUAACUUCUUCUGAAUUCUAAUUUCUAAUUUCUAAAUUCUAAUAUCUUGAAUAUGAUACUGCCCCAUCUCCCUUGUAUUUUCCCUUGCUCAUGUGGAGGAUAUAUGUGAAACGCUAGCUACAAACGUGACUACAAGCACUGGAGAUUUCCAUAUUUAAAAGGUUAUUUAUAUUAUGUGUUCCCUUUUUUGAAUUUUAAUCCACGCUAUGAAAGUUACAUAUGUCCUGUUUGCAACAGUGCACCAUUCCAGAAAGAAAAAUAUAGAGAUACUGGGAAAAUCCAAACAUUUGCUAAUAUUUUACUCCUACUGGUAGAAUGAUGACAUUCCACUGAAAAUCGUUGUUAGAAAUAUUAUUUUAAUGAGUUGCAAUUUAGGUUACUUAUUGUCAUGUGGUUAUGGCGCAUGUUGUAAUGUCAGGUAUGCUUAUGUAUUCUAAGGACAGUAAUGUGCUCAGGAGUUGACUGUGCUUGAAUGCAGCUGCCAUUUUAAUACACUGAAGUGUCUGCUCAUGUAUCUGCAUAUGUAGUAGGUUAUUGAAGGCUUAGGGGCAGCAGAUAGAAAUGGAUAAAGAAUAUACUAUAAGAUCGCAAAACUCUUCUGCCUCUAUUUGAAAAUUAGGAUGAGGGAACUUCAAUCAAAAUGCAAAUGUGCUGGAAGAAGGCAGUAGUUUCUUCUCUAAACAGGCAUGUGCAUGGGAAAAAGAGUCAGGAGGGUUUUGUUUGCUUUCCAGCAACUGAAGCUUGUAAUGUUUCCCAGAAUGCCUAGAAUCUUUAUAUACAAAUAUGGGCAUAGGCUUUAUUCUUUGAAUCCUAUUUUAAGCUUACUGCUAAGUCCAAAUAUACACGGAAGAGCUGAUGGGAAUUUCUAACGUCUUGAAGACAGCAAAAAUAAAUAAAUAAAUAAAUAAAUAAUAAAAAAAAUUAACCAUUCUAGCUCUGCUGUGGACAGAGAAUUUAUUUCUCUUUACUGAAGUGCCCUGAACAGAAGACACUAUUUUAACCAAACAUUGAACUCGAAGAAGACAUUAAUAACAUAAGGGUGCAUAUCCAAACCAAAAAUAUGUAUAUAAACAGCUACUGUGAAAGGGUAUUUAUGUAGCUAGUCAAGAUGUAAUAUAUGAUUUCUGCAGGAACAGUAAGAGACAACUAAUUUCAGUAUCAUCUGUUUUGUAUGUAGUGUGUAUGCAAAGUCGGGUCUUGUGCACAAACACUUUGUGUAUGAUUGAAUAUUAGUGUUCUACCAUUAGCACAGUAAGUCAGCGUGCAGGGGAUCUGAGACACAAGUGGAUUUGAAGCAACACAGCAACUAACAACAGAAACCUCAGUGGUGCUGCAAAACCUCUCAAGAGCUGGUGAUUGGAUGAUAUAAAACAAAGCCUCAGUCAUAACUUGCCAUUUACACCUAUCCGUGCUGUAAUUGAGUGAAAAGAGCUCACUGAAGGUUUCUCCUUGUACCACUGCUGUGUUCUUCCCUCAGUGUAACAUCCCUCUGUGCUAAUGUGGGCAUGUUCUACAAGAGGAAAAGGAAAGACAGCGGAGAGGAAAACACUUCUUGUCUUGAGUAAAAGAUCUGUCAGGUACUCGUCCCUAUCCUGACUCCUUGACCAUAUGGAGAGGAUUGCAGCAGUCAGCUGGGAUGUGAGAACUAAUCUUCCUGCUGUUGUCAGCAGUCAAGCGCAUGCACUGGAUGUAGGGUACUAAGGAAGAGUAAUAAUGAAAGAGGUGGCAAUAUGUUUUGGAUCAUGUAGGGUAAGAACUUCUUUCCGGCAUUGCACUCUGAAAAGUAUAUGAGGAAGAAAAUACAAGGAAUUAGGAAUCAGAGCUACAGAAGAGAACUGCAGCACCGAGAAAGGAAUAUAAAACACCGGAAGUUUCACAGUAUUUUUUUUUCCAGUGCUGGAUAUAUUUGGCUGCAAUAGGGACUGUAGAAUGAAUGACAACUUUGUUUCCAUAAAGCUGGAAGGAGUCAGAUGUUCAAAGUUCAUUAAAGUCUUUUUCCUAUCUUAGGAGCUCCACGGAUAUGCAAUAUGAAAGUAGGAUUUUUUUCUUAGGCUCUAGAGAACUCAUUUUCUUUCUGUUUUGCAUCUCUGUGUUGUUGAAUCUGUCUUGUUGUAUUGCUACCAGGUGUCUUUAGAGCAAAAGCUUUCAGAUUAGAAGAGUCUGAAUCAGGAUGCAAAGGAUCAACUCUAAGAUGUUGUCCAAGAGUACUUUUUCUUGUUCCUUCCUGUCAUGGCUCAGCUGCAGAGAAUUUACCUUGUCUUUUUGCUGCUGUUCUUGUUCUCAGAUGUUUUGCAUUUAGAUGAACCAGCAGAACUCAGACAGCAGGAAUUACCCAUACGGAUGGACUAUCACCACAUCAUCUGGAAAGGCCUCAAUACUGAGCAUGUGUCUCUUGAUGUUCCAUUUCCGUGGAAUCGAUGAGAGGGAUUGGACAUACUGACUCUGCAGUACCAGUCAUCUUUUGUGUCCCUCUGCUUCCUAUGGGACUUUCAGGCAUGGACACUGCAUCCCACCUGCCCAUGAUAUCCUCAGUGUGCUAGAUCAUAGCAAGGCUUACUGAUAAGAGGAAAAUAUGACACUAAAUCGUCUAAUUCUUGAUCGAGGGCAGUUAAACUCACAACUGGCAGCUGCCAUCAUAUCACACUGUGAAUACAAAGGUCGCAGAGAGUCUGAGCAACACUUAAGGUCACUUGUCCUUGAACAAUUUAUAACGUGGACCCCACACUAGAGGACUGUGUGGAGGUUAUUGGUGUAGUGCUCAUGCAGAGGGCAUGGCAAACAAGGCAGCAGAAACGGAGAAUCUGUGUCCUGGCUUUAGAACAUCUCCUGGCAGAUGUGCUGCUCCCAUGAGAAGCAGUAAGAUGGGUGUGGAGAGAGAGUGGUGUACUUCCAUACCACAGCUUUCAGGUCUUCCUGGGCUGACAAGAGCACUCCUACUGCCAGCAGGCAAAAAGCAGGAGGAGAUUUGGAAAUGGAGCUUCGGUAGUUUGUUCCGCUCAUUACACCCAGUUCUUUCCAGUCAGUUGGUUAUCCAUUAGCUUGGGAAGUACAAAAAUCACCUGGAGGUAUCACAGCUCUUUUAGGGCAUAUUUAGAAGAUGUAUCUCCCUGUUGUUCUCUCCUUCCAUUUGUCAUCUUUCUCAUUACAGAGGAGCUUAUUCGCUAGCCACUUUGCCAACUCUAGGAUUUAUAGCAGCUGAAGAGAGUACUUUAGGCAGGGAGGAGUGACUGCAUUGACCUCAAACUCCCAGAACUCUCCAAGAAGUCAGUGUAUUAAAGAUAAUGAUGUACCAAGGCGAUAAAAUGUAGAGGCAAUAAAAAUGUUAUACAGAUGUUAAUGCAUACAAGCAAAAUACACAAUAUGAAAAUGGAAAAAGCCCUAAAUAACUACUGGACAUUUUACAUUGUCUUAAAUACACUUCUGCAGCACCUGUGUGGUUCAGUGGCACAAUUUGUCAUGCAAAUCAUGUUGCUUGCCAGAUAAACCAAAUCUUUCUGACAUCCCCAGUCUCAUUUGUGGGACACUGGUGACAAACUUCAAAACUAGGGUGUGGGAGAAAAGUGGAGAAGGGAAACUGAGACCAGCUUAGAAUAUUUUAUUUAAUUUAUAGUGCCUUGAAUUCCUUUUCCUUCUUUUUCCAGUAAUGGAAGAAAGAAAACUCUCCAGUUCUCUGAAGCUACAGCUCUUGAUCUAUGGCCUUUACUUUGGAAAGCACUUAUGUAUGCUUCCAAGUAUUCUUUUCCUUUUUUAAUAGAUGGGACUUAAGCGGAUGUUUAAGUAGUUUGUUUUUGCACUGGUAGUCUUACAAACUAAUAGCUAAUGUUAUGGGUUAAUAUUAUAGCUAUGCUGAAGGGCUGCUGCUGCCUGAGCCCCAGCAAAUGGAAGAUAUGAAGGGAACCAGGAUGUGCAGAAAUGCCUACUCCUGUUGGAAAUAACUUUGUCUUUGCCAAAAAGGGGAGAAUGUGUGAGAAAAGGCUUAUGAUUUCAGCCAGCCUUACUUUUCAAUGUACUGCACAAAAAAGCACAACAAACCUUCCAUAAAUUAUCAGUUCUUUCCAGUUUUAUUAAACAUAGAGAACCUGUGAUCCUCUUUGUUAAUUCUCUGUGCUGUGUACAGCUAACCCUUUAGUUGUCCUUCACACAUAUUUUGAGAAUAAAAAUUCCUGCAGCUGGAAUACGUCGUAUUGACCAUGUUUUUUGUCCAACAAAGGCUGGAGGAACAUAGAGUUCAAAUGAAUACAUAACGUUUUGUUAAGUUUUUGGCAACUUUACAUGGACAGACUUUAACAAAUGACAAAUUGUGCUUGUCAGCAUAGCAAACUUUGUGCUUCUUAUCAUGUACAGUAUUUCUGAAAAUGGCCAAGAGCAUAACUAUAAAGUGUGUCUGUGUUGUGUAUAGGGUUCUUUGGGAGUAUUAAAAACACAGUGCUCAUGAAUGUAGUUGUUAAUGCUUAAGCUGUAUCUGUUAGUGUGCAAAACCAUAUUUCCUGGUCUAGUAGUAUCUGUGUAAGGAUAGAGGAGUUGCCUGGCACAGUGGAGAUCAGCCUAGUAGGGUGGUGCGAGGCUGGUGGGCAUGGACUGGCACCCUACCAAAUCUUCUGCCUCUGCUGUUGUUGCACACAACACAACUCUGCCCUCUGUAGCUGAUGGCACGUCUGUAUGUGAGCUACCAGGUGUCAGAGCUUCAAAAUGCUGUACAAGAAGAAGAUAAUAAUCUCAAAGGCUAAAAGAGGGCCCAUCUGUUGUCAAUGGGUGUGCCGAGCUCUUUUGCAGCCUUCCGUCUUCCAGAGGACAAAUUACUUUGUUAACUGUUUGCAGCCACCUUAACUCACCUUUUAAAGGAAGAUUUAAAGCUUUUUUAGUUUAACUUUGUAAAAGUUUUUUUUUUUCUUUGUAAUGUCUUUUUAUGAAUCUUAGAAAAGAAAAAACACUGUUUUGGACUUCAUUUUCUUUACCCUGUGUUGGCUGGUAUUUUGCUUUCACUGGUUUUUGUUUCUUUGGAGUUGACAGUGAGGGCACUGGUGUUCCAGUUUAGAAGUACACCUUGUUACCGAAAUGAUGCUGAUCCGCUACAAAAAUGCAGUUAACAUUUUAUAAACAAACAUUUCCCAAUCAUCAUUUUUCUCUGUGAUUUCACAAUGACAAAGCAUGAGGGUAAACAUAAUAUUAAAAUGGGAAUCAUGAUACUCAUGUCAGUGCAACUGUAAAAGCCUAAUCAGUGAUCUCAAAGUCCUUGAAUUUUAAAUACUAUUAUGAUAUGAUUAUUUUUUGCAACACUAAACAGUUAAAUUUUAUACUUAAACACCAUAUCUUCUUUCACUAGCACAUAAUCUACCAGUCAUAUGUUUUAUGAUGAUGUGAGCAUGUAUCUUACCAGCAAAUGUUCUGGCCAACAAUAGCAUCGUUUUUUCAUAAGUAGGAGGAAAAAUAUUUUAAAAAUAGCUUGAGAUAAACCCAACCAGCAGUAAAAGUCUGAUUGUUAAUGCAGAAGAAAUAUGCAAAAAGUAGAAAAAUGAGUUUUCUCAAUAUAUCCUUUGUGAACACCAAACCGUAAAAUAUCACUAGUUUAUCAACAGUACUAAAUAGUGAUUUUUUAAAAAAUGAAAUAGAAAAAAAAACACUAAAAUACACAGAAAGGUUUACAGAACAAAAUUACGUUAUUUUGUUAGUCAAGAUUGAUAUUCUUUAAUUUCUUUAAGUAGGAAAAAAAGACAAGUUAAUGAUAUAUGAGGCCUACACUAAUAAGCUGGAGAUAAACCGAAAUUUUAAUGCAUAGUCCUGCUGUUCGAACAACACUAAAUGUUCUUCUCUCAUAGUUUAACAGAAAAUGGUUGAUUUUUGGUCUUACUUUCAUGUAAUGUAUGUAUUUAAUGAUGAAAAAUACAGUGUUCAUAACCAUUGACUACAUACCUAUAAACUCAAUUAGCUGUGUAGCUUCAUUCUUUGGGAGUCAGAAGGUGUCCCAGGCUAUAUAAUCUGUUGAAUUGACCCGCUUCAGCAAUACAGAAUUGCUAUCGCUGCUUUGACAAUGAAAGAAAAAUACAGUCCUACUUUAACAGUUCUGAAAAUAUCUUGCUUCCAAUGGAAAUCUUAAGGACUGAUAGGUGAGGAAGCACAGUAUAAUUCUGUGAUUAAAAUACUCAGAGGACAUGAAUGGAGACUAUCCUUACUCCUGAUUUUUAUUGUUAUUUAAACAUUGACAACUUACAAAUUUGGGAAUACAAUUAUUUGUUUCAUCAGAAUCCCAUUCCAAAGGAGAACAAUUUUAGAGAAUUGAAUCAUCUUUAAAAUUUGUUAUUCAUUUAGUUAUUGUUAAUAUUAGACAAACUAAUUACAUUGACAGCCCAUGGAAAGAGAUACUCAGGAUGUUGUUAUACUAUGUAUAAUAGUAAAAUUGUAAAAUUUUUA
ensembl:lncRNA